UACGGAGGAUCCGAGCGUUAUCCGGAUUUAUUGGGUUUAAAGGGUGCGCAGGCGGGAGAUUAAGUCGGCGGUGAAAUUUUGCAGCUCAACUGUAAAAGUGCCUUCGAAACUGGUUUUCUUGAGUGUAGAUGAAGUAGGCGGAAUUUGUGGUGUAGCGGUGAAAUGCAUAGAUAUCACGAGGAACUCCGAUUGCGCAGGCAGCUUACUAAGCUACAACUGACGCUCAGGCACGAAGGCGUGGGGAUCAAACAGG
rnacentral:rRNA from 1 species